ensembl:lncRNA
UGAGACAUCACUGUCAGCGGGUCUGCUUAUUACAAAUCCUCAGAGAAGUUAAUGUCAAGGAUGAGCCAAGACAACCUAAAUGAAGAACUUGAUCACAAUUUCAAAGCUUCAUUUCUUACUGGAAAAUCUUUUGGGAGGUACAUCACCUUUGUCCCAGCUGAACCAGUCCACAUCUUUUGAGAUGCAAAUGUCACUUCAGAGUCUUUUCUUGGGAAGAGCUAUAGCCUACAUGGAAUAUUUUUUUAUCCACAAGAUCUGAAAAUAAAUGGAGGGAAGAAAUGUGUCAGAUGGUAUGAAAAGGAAGAUAGUUUGUAAUACGAAUAAUUUGAUGAUGAUGUGAUGUGUCAUACUGAAAGCUAAACUUGCGGUGGAACCAGCACAUGUAGAGGCUGGGCCAUUAUCCAGCCCCAGAGGACACUGACAAGACAAGCC